AUUGAACGCUGGCGGCAGGCCUAACACACGCAAGUCGAGCGGCAGCGGGAAAGUAGCUUGCUACUUUUGCCGGCGAGCGGCGGACGGGUGAGUAAUGCCUGGGGAUCUGCCCAGUCGGGGGGGAUAACUACUGGAAACGGUAGCUAAUACCGCAUACGCCCUACGGGGGAAAGCAGGGGACCUUCGGGCCUUGCGCGAUUGGAUGAACCCGGGUGGGAUUAGCUAGUUGGUGAGGUAAUGGCUCACCAAGGCGACGAUCCCUAGCUGGUCUGGGAGGAUGAUCAGCCACACUGGAACUGAGACACGGUCCAGACUCCUACGGGAGGCAGCAGUGGGGAAUAUUGCACAAUGGGGGAAACCCUGAUUCAGCCAUGCCGCGUGUGUGAAGAAGGCCUUCGGGUUGUAAAGCACUUUCAGCGAGGAGGAAGGGUUGGUAGCUAAUAACUGCCAGCUGUGACGUUACUCGCAGAAGAAGCACCGGCUAACUCCGUGCCAGCCGCCGCCGUAAUAC
rnacentral:rRNA from 1 species